GAUGAACGCUGGCGGCAUGCCUUAGACAUGCAAGUCGAACGAAGAAUAGUGAACGGAAAUUUCGGUGGAAGAUUACUAUUACUUAGUGGCGAACGGGUGAGUAACAGGUAGGUAACCUACCCUAGAGUCGGGGAUAACGUUUGGAAACGAACGCUAAUACCGGAUAGGAUAUAAAAUCGCAUGAUUAAAUAUUUAAAGAUGCUACGGCAUCACUCUAGGAGGGACCUGCUCCGUAUUAGAUAGUUGGUGAGGUAGAGGCUCACCAAGUCAACGAUGCGUAGCCGGGCUGAGAGGCUGAUCGGCCACACUGGAACUGAGACACGGUCCAGACUCCUACGGGAGGCAGCAGUUAGGGAUAUUCGGCAAUGGGGGAAACCCUGACCGAGCAAUGCCGCGUGAACGAAGAAGUAUUUCGAUAUGUAAAGUUCUGUUGUUAAGGAAGAAAGAUACUGAUAGGGAAUGAUCAGUAGUUGACGGUACUUAACCAGAAAGCCCCUGCUAACUACGUGCCAGCAGCAGCGGUAAUACGUAGGGGGCGAGCGUUGUCCGGAAUCAUUGGGCGUAAAGGGUGCGUAGGCGGCCUAUUAAGUCCGAGUUGAAAGCCCACGGCUUAACCGUGGAGGGUGCUCGGAAACUAAUAGGCUUGAAUUCAGAAGAGGCAAGUGGAAUUCUAUAUGGAGCGGUGGAAUGCGUAGAUAUAUGGAGGAACACCAGUGGCGAAGGCGGCUUGCUGGGCUGAUAUUGACGCUGAUGCACGAAAGCGUGGGGAGCAGACAGGAUUAGAUACCCUGGUAGUCCACGCCGUAAACGAUGAGUACUAAGUGUUGGGGAGACUCAGUGCUGCAGUUAACGCAAUAAGUACUCCGCCUGGGGGAUACGAUCGCAAGAUUG
rnacentral:rRNA from 1 species